UACAGAGGGUGCAAGCGUUAAUCGGAAUUACUGGGCGUAAAGCGUGCGUAGACGGUUAUGUAAGUCGGGUGUGAAAGCCCCGGGCUCAACCUGGGAACUGCAUCCGAUACUGGAUGGCUUGAAUUCGGGAGAGGGAUGCAGAAUUCCAGGUGUAGCGGUGAAAUGCGUAGAUAUCUGGAGGAAUACCGGUGGCGAAGGCGGCAUCCUGGACCGACAUUGACGCUGAGGAGCGAAAGCCAGGGGAGCAAACGGG
rnacentral:rRNA from 1 species